rnacentral:rRNA from 1 species
UGGCGGACGGGUGAGUAACGCGUGGGCAACCUGCCCCAUACAGGGGGAUAACAGUUAGAAAUGACUGCUAACACCGCAUAAGCGCACAGGGCCGCAUGGCCCGGUGUGAAAAACUCCGGUGGUAUGGGAUGGGCCCGCGUCUGGUUAGCCAGUUGGCGGGGUAACGGCCCACCAAAGCGACGAUCAGUAGCCGACCUGAGAGGGUGACCGGCCACAUUGGGACUGAGACACGGCCCAAACUCCUACGGGAGGCAGCAG